AGAGUUUGAUCCUGGCUCAGGACGAACGCUGGCGGCGUGCCUAAUACAUGCAAGUAGAACGCUGAAGGAGGAGCUUGCUUCUCUGGAUGAGUUGCGAACGGGUGAGUAACGCGUAGGUAACCUGCCUGGUAGCGGGGGAUAACUAUUGGAAACGAUAGCUAAUACCGCAUAAGAGUAGAUGUUGCAUGACAUUUGCUUAAAAGGUGCACUUGCAUCACUACCAGAUGGACCUGCGUUGUAUUAGCUAGUUGGUGGGGUAACGGCUCACCAAGGCGACGAUACAUAGCCGACCUGAGAGGGUGAUCGGCCACACUGGGACUGAGACACGGCCCAGACUCCUACGGGAGGCAGCAGUAGGGAAUCUUCGGCAAUGGACGGAAGUCUGACCGAGCAACGCCGCGUGAGUGAAGAAGGUUUUCGGAUCGUAAAGCUCUGUUGUAAGAGAAGAACGAGUGUGAGAGUGGAAAGUUCACACUGUGACGGUAUCUUACCAGAAAGGGACGGCUAACUACGUGCCAGCAGCCGCGGUAAUACGUAGGUCCCGAGCGUUGUCCGGAUUUAUUGGGCGUAAAGCGAGCGCAGGCGGUUAGAUAAGUCUGAAGUUAAAGGCUGUGGCUUAACCAUAGUAGGCUUUGGAAACUGUUUAACUUGAGUGCAAGAGGGGAGAGUGGAAUUCCAUGUGUAGCGGUGAAAUGCGUAGAUAUAUGGAGGAACACCGGUGGCGAAAGCGGCUCUCUGGCUUGUAACUGACGCUGAGGCUCGAAAGCGUGGGGAGCAAACAGGAUUAGAUACCCUGGUAGUCCACGCUGUAAACGAUGAGUGCUAGGUGUUAGACCCUUUCCGGGGUUUAGUGNCCACCUGUCACCUCUGUCCCGAAGGAAAACUCUAUCUCUAGAGCGGUCAGAGGGAUGUCAAGACCUGGUAAGGUUCUUCGCGUUGCUUCGAAUUAAACCACAUCUGCAAGAUUAUCUAGAUUUUUUCCAGCUUGGUCAUGAAUCGGACUCCUACCUGUGUUCGGAAAAUCAAUUGUCAAAUAACCAAUUGUAGGAGGAGGUUUUUCAAGUAUAAGUGAAAAAUUUUCAUAACUUGGUAGCAAACCUGCUCCGUUUAGACAAACUAGCACUUUCUUUUGCUUUUGAUAAGUAACAGAGAGGCUACCAAUUUCUGUAGAUACUUCAAACCUCUUCAUAAAGAAAUCCACUCAUUCUAUAUAAUGAAUUAUUAAAAAUCCUUAUCCUUUAUUUUAUCACGUUCCAAGGAUUUUCUCAAGUUGGAGGAAGGGGACAACAUCUCUACUUUCCCUUCAAGAAUCCUUCCAAAUCAUGUUUAUGUUGGUAAUUAACGACUGCGGUUUUGUCUUUCUCAAAGACAGUCUUGGUAAGGUCAAUAUGCUUGAUAGCAGCAAUAGCGACGGUGUAGUAAAUGAUAUCAGCCAGUUCUCUGGCAAGUUCCUCGUUCGAAUCCUAUCCCUUCUUUUCGACCAGAGCGCCUAUUCAAAACCUCGGCUACUUCUCCGACUUCCUCCACUAACUUCAUAAAGAGACCUUCAUCAGUCCGAGACUGCUGUUAAUGUUCGAGUAAGUAGUCUUGGAAUUGCCUAAACGUUCAAUCUUU
rnacentral:rRNA from 1 species